rnacentral:lncRNA from 1 species
CAUAUGGAGGUUCCCAGGCUAGGGGGCUAAUUGGUGCUAUAGAUGCUGGCCUAUGCCAGAACCAGAGCAAUGUGGGAUCCGAGCCGCAUCUGCAACCUACACCACAGCUCAUGGCAACGCGGGAUCCUUAACCCACUGAGCGAGGCCAGGGAUUGAACCCACAACCUUAUGGUUCCUAGUCAGAUUCGUUAACCACUGUGACGACAGAACUCCCCCGGAAUUUUUUAAAUUUUUAAAAUAAGAAAGAGAAUGAAUGGUGAAGAUGAGAUUUAUUGGCCUUGAGAUUAUGAAAAAAUACUGGUAUGAAUUUCAUAAGAAAAUUGACAUUAACUUCAAGAUGAUGGAGCUGUGUUGAUUUACAUGGUAUUUGUUUUCUGUUGGUUUAGGGAGAUAGGAAGUGUCUCUGACCCUACUAAGGUCUGAAAGAUGGACUUCAUACACCAACUAAAUGAUCCAGAGUAGGCUGACCCAUCUUCCUGUGUCCCAUUUUCUCCAUUUCUAUAAUAGGGGUAAUAAUAUCUACUUCUCUGAGUUGCCAUGAGAAUCAAAUUAAUUUACAUAUAUGAAAGUGCCUUAAAAAUUGCAAAAUGACAGACAAAAGUAAGGUAGUACUGGAGUUCCCACUGUGGCACAGCAGGUUAAGGAUCUGGUGUUGUCUCUGCCGUGGCUCAAUUUGCUGAGGAGGUACGGGUUCGAUCCCUGGGCAAGUGCAGUGGCUUAAGGAUCUGGUGCUGCUGCAGUUGUGGUGUAGGCUGCAGGUGUGGCUCAGAUUCAAUCCCUGUCUGGGGUACGCUCAUAUGCCACAGGUUAGACCAAAAAAAGGAAGGAAGUACUUAUUAUGAAAUUUCUUUCAAAAACAAAAACAAAAACAAACAAAAAAAAAAACCAAGUUCCCAUCAUGACUCAGUGCAAAUGAAUCUGACUAGCAUCCAUGAGGACACAGGUUCAAUCCCUGGCCCUGAUCAGUGGGUUAAGGAUUUGGCAUUGUCGCAAGCUGUGGUGUAGGUUGCAGGUGCAGCUCAGAUCUGACAUGGUUGUGUGUGCGGUGUAGGCUGGCAGCUACAGCUCCAAUUCCACCCCUAGUUUGGGAACCUCCAUAUGCUGUAGGUACCGCCCUAAAAGGGCAAAAGAGAAAAAAUAUUAAAAAAAAAAAGCAGAAGUGUGUGCAUUAUACUCUGUAAACAAGUACAUAAAAUAAUUUAUCAGGGAAGUGGCAGGAAUAGGAAAGUCAUUAUAAGGAGAUGGGAUUUUUUUUUUUCUAUUGUCAUUCUCUCCAUUAUGAAUAAUUUACACAGUUUCCAGUUCAGGACAAGUGAUCAGGUCUUCCCUUAAAGUCCUUCAGGAAAGCUCAAACAGCCACAAGUUGGAACUCUGGCCACUUGCCAAUAUUUGUUCAAAGACAGCUCUAAAUAAGGUAGUUUAAUAAUCAGAAACUGGAAAUUUCUCUCCUUUCCCACACACCAGCAUUCUCCCGCCUUCUCGUCUGUUAGAUAUUUUACUAGUUUCAACAAAUGUAGGUCAAUAUAUGCAACAGCCACUUUAACCGUAAGUAUUUUCUUUUAUACUUGUUUUCUAAAGAAGGGAGAAAUGUGUCCAUGCUUGUUUUUAUUUUACCUUCAGAAUAAUCUAAUUUCCUUGAGACACUGUAAAACAGCAAAAAUUAUUCCUAUUUAUUAAAUAUAGGUCAAAGAAGGUAUUUGUAUUUAUGUUAAGGAAAUUUCUAUUAAGGUUGUAGAAGAGGGGAGUCUACUGUCGAGAUGAUACUUCAUGAGACUAAGACAAAUUCACCAACACACUUUCCAUAUUCCCACUAUAAAAUAGACUAAACACUGCACUGUACCAGACAUAUGGCUGCAGCAGCUCCACUGUCUAUCUCUACCAUAAAUACCAAGAAAUCUGCCUAAAAAAUGCCUCAUGGCUUUUGACAUCAGGGUCAAACAACUCAAAAGUUUACGGAAUGAGACUGUUUACAAAACAGAAUGAUUAAAGGAAAUGAAGUUUAUCUGGAAUAUCGAAUUUUAAAAAUCUGUUAAAAUGUUCUUCCUAAUGACAAAUGUAACAUAUUUUCAUUCUUGAGGAUAACAAUAUAGAUAAACCAAAAGAAGGAAAAACAUCAAGCCACAAUUUAUCCAUCCAGAGAUCACAGAGCAAAUAUAUUUGGUAUAUACCCUUUCAGGCAUAUUUCUUACAAAUUCAUAUGUAUGUUUAAUACACAUGACUCACACUGGACAUAUACCAUCUUGUAACCUACUGAACAUAUGUACGUGUCGGCGUACUGUGAUUUAAGAGAACAGGUGCCUGUCAGUCUGCCUGGGUUUGGAUCUCAGCUGUCACUGACUAAUGGGAUGACAUCUGGCUGUGUGAGAUCACCUAGGAAGUGCACGUAGCUAAAGGGUAUCAUCAAGUUGUAUAUGUUAAAUACGUAUAUAAUUUUUUAUGAGAGAGAGAGAGCGAGCGAGAGAGGGAGAGAGAAACCUAGGACAAAAGCUCGUUGGUGAUGAGAGAGGUUUGGGAGAAGGGAAGCAGCCAAGGAGACUUGAGAAAGAAUAACAAGUCGAGUAGGAGGAAAGCUGAGGAAGUGUGGUAUCCUGGAAACCAAGAGAAGAAAAGUUUAUCAAGGGGGAGGUAAUAGUCAACUUUUGCUGAAAAGAUGAGCACUGAGAAGAGACCAUCAGAUCUGGUGACAUGGAGGUCACUGGUCACCUUGACACAACCGUUUGGGUAGAAUGAUGGCACGGAAAGUCUGAUGGGGGACAGCGUGAGAGAAGCGGGGAGAGGGAAAGAAAAGAGUAUAGCCAACUUUGGGGGGGGACUUUGGUUACAAUGAAGGACAGAGAAAUGGAUCAGUAGGUGACAGAAAAGCACAGACGAAUGAAGGUGUGUUUUAAUUAUAGUAUGAUGUUCAAAGUUGGCUCUUACCAUGUUUGCUACUGAUUAACGGUAAUGUGACUUACAUACACAUGGUAAAUUAUUUUCAAAUAAGAUGACAUUCUGAUACAUCUCUCUACAUACAAUACAUUCACGUUCCCACCCUCCUCUGCUCCGUGGUGAUUUUAACUAAAAAAGUAGCUAAAUAUAUAAGAAUGAUAGGUAAAUUUCCCAUUACUCAAAUUUACAAGUUGUUCAGUUAUUAUAUAGGAAACACUUCGGCAAAUAAGAACCUUGACUCUAAAUGGAAACAUUAUUUUCUAAAGUAAAAACCAGAUGAUUAAUUGCUUUACGUUUAUUCCAGUUAGCAUCACACAGGAUAAAAGACAUUGCCAAAGCACAACCUGGUCUCUGUUAUAGAUAGGAGCACUACAGCUUCUGUAUUCAAGUGAAAGUGAACCAUCUGAUGACUUAAAUCAUUUUACAUACAAUCACUACUAUUGGUAAUAAUUGUUAACAUUCAUUGACGGUUUUGUGCCAAGCGGCCAGGCUUUAGUUCUCACAAAAAAAGUUUGCAUUAGGCAUUAUUAUUAUCCUCACUGUAUACAUGAAGAAAUAGAAAGCCUCAGCAGAAAGAGAUGAAAACUUAGCCAGGUCUUCACAGAUGAUAAGCUAUGUGGCUGUCUAACCCCAAGGCAUGCUCUGAAGCAGGGCUGCUACUAGCCCAUACAGUGCCCUUUGGCAAUUAGAAAACAGUGCUAAACAGCACUCCAUUUUGCAAAUAAAAUUUAAAGUUAGUUUCUUGUCACACAACCCAAAUGACUAUUUCCAAGGGGCUCUAUCCAGAAAAACAGCUGGCAGCCACUCUACCUGUACACAUACGAUGCCUAUACUUUUGCCUGCUUCCACACCAGGACACAUACUCCACGCAAUCUUUAAAUACUUUUUACUGUUCCUCCUUUACUGUAGGGAACUACAUCAAGUCCAAGGUUGGGGAAUUGGAAGCAGGUUUUGGUGAAAGUAUCAGGAAACUGGGCGAAGCAAUCCCAGGUGUCACUAGGAACAUGGUCAGAACAGGUACACCUCAUGCAGGUGUGUGGCAGUAUACAGAUGAAUGGUUUCCUGAGUAUGUGUGUGUGUCCAUAUGCAGCCAAUGUGGGUUUUUGUACGAGUCAACUUUCCACUGCUCCAGAACUUGGCCAAGAGGUCUGGAAUCUCCAGGCCUGUCUGUGCUUUUAUAUAUAUUAAUACAUGUCUUACGAUGUCAAUUAGGACAUUCUUAAUUGUGAUGUUCUUGUACAGUGGACAACCUGAAUACUCCUAUGCAGCUGCCUUACUCCUAAUCAGUCUUUGGUUCAUUAGACAACUACAUGGAAAGCACUGUACUAGGUGCUACAGGAGAUGCUAAGAACUUGCUCUUUUUAUCAAGGAACAUAAUUUCCAGUAAGAAAAAUAUGCACACAAAGAGUAUACAUUACAAAGUGAUAAGUUCUGUAAGAAAAGUAUUGAAAAAUUGCUAAGUGAAUUCACAAGAGGAAAUGUUUCAGUUUGAUUAAGUAAAGAAAAUUUCAUGAAGGAGGAAACACUUGAGGAGUGGCUUGGAAGAUGGAAUUUGGAUGUGCAGAAAGAGAAGAAAGCAUAUUUCAGAGGGGAGAGUGUAGAUAAAAGCAGAAAGAAGUGAAAGUGUGCUACACACACGGAAACAUUGGAUGCUUAAGUUGAGCAAAGUAAUGUACUGAUUCUGAAUCCUGCCUUGGACUCCUGAAGGACUAUGAAGCUGUUACAGUGCUUUUCCAAAAUACUGGCAAAAUAUAAAAAGACUGACAAAUGUCUUAAACACAUAUUACAACUAAUUUAAAAACACAUUAGUGCUUUUGAUUAAUAUAACAUAAAUUCCUUCAAAAACGCUACUGAAUUCAUAAUAGAACACUGUUAUAUACUUUCUAAAUCAAUAAAUACCAAGUGUAGAACUACUAUGAUGAGCUAGUCUAAGAAAGUUUGCAGUGUUAAUAAAAGGAAUCCCGUGUUCAAAAGGCUGAUGAAUUCUGUAGUUACACAAACCCUUAUCUGAAUUCCAUCGCUACCAAUAAUUAUUGUAUGGUAUUAGACAAAUCUUUCAAGUUUGUUUCUUCAUCUCUGUAGCAGGAAUUAUAAAACCAACCUUACUUGUUCUGAUAGAGAAAAUCAUGGCAUGUUUUAGGCAUUCAGAAAAUGCUAAGUAUUACAAAAUGAAAAGCUGAGGUUAAAUCAGAGUCCACCUUGAAUGUCAAGCUAAGGAGCUGGUACUUUUUCAGGCUAGAUAGUUACUGCAGGUGAGAGGGAUUGGACCUGGGACCCUUUGUUGCAGUGCUUAUACCUGGACAAAACUUCUCCCCAAACAUUUCCUGAGCAACAAACUACAAAGAAACUAUAAGGGACUAAAAACAACUGUGCCUCUACCGCUGGGGCAAAUUGUAAAAAAAACAAUAAACAAAAAGACCAAAAACCCAACUGCCACCUCUGAGGUAAAGGGAGCAAAAGCAGGUUAUUGUGCAAGACGGCUACACAAAGCACCACUAAAGGGAUGGGAAGACCACGUGAGCCAUCCUUCUGGCCAGACUCAUGUAUUCACCCCUAUCCUCAUCACAUUUAAGGAACCAGCUUGCCCUGUGCACCCCAGGGAGCAUGCAAGGAAACCUGUUUCUUGUUUUCCCUCUCUGGUGCACUAUAGCACAGCCCCAGUAAAGUCAUGCCCGAAUUUCUUAUCUGGCCUCUUAGCAAUUUCUACUGAGUGAGGAGUCCAGGAACCCAGGUUGGAAACACAGGAUUUUUGUCCAAGUGGCAGAAAAAUCAAGGAGGGAAAAGAGUCUGAAAGAUAUUGCAGUUGUCCAAGUGAGGCAAAAAAAAAGCACUCGCAGUGAAUUUCUGGAAUAUUUCGGACUAUAAACUAUAGGAUUCCGAAUUUCCUGGGUAUGAAGAAUGAGAUUAAAGCCCACUAUUUUGAUCUAGUUGGUGCUGUUUACAACAACAGAAGACCAAUGCCCUAACCUGGGAAAUUCCAUAAGUCGUAGCUACGGCCCUUAAAAAAAAAAAAAAAAAGGCAAAGACAGAGGUGACGUUCAGUUUCAUAUUUUGAGCUUAGCACCCAAAAUUAUCCUGGCUGAAAAUGCAUAAACAAAGCUUCAAAUAUGAUCUGAGUUGAAACAAAGUUCUGGAAAUUUUGUUCAUUCUCUUAAAUCCUAAGUUUUAAAAAACUUUUUCUUACGACAUCAUAAUUCACUCCGGGACACCUUAUACGUUACAGGGUUCUGCGAAACGACGCUGAAAACUGCCAAGUUCCUUCUGGACCCAGGAUA